rnacentral:rRNA from 1 species
GACGAACCGAGCGAACGUUGUUCGGAAUCACUGGGCUUAAAGGGCGCGUAGGCGGGUGCUCAAGUCCGGGGUGAAAUCCUCCAGCUCAACUGGAGAACUGCCUCGGAUACUGGGUGUCUCGAGGGUGGUAGGGGUAUGCGGAACUAUCGGUGGAGCGGUGAAAUGCGUUGAUAUCGAUAGGAACUCCGGUAGCGAAGGCGGCAUACUGGACCACAUCUGACGCUGAGGCGCGAAAGCCAGGGGAGCAAACGGG